UACGUAGGGGGCAAGCGUUGUCCGGAAUCAUUGGGCGUAAAGAGCGCGCAGGCGGUCGUACAAGUCGCGUGUGAAAGCCCCCGGCUCAACUGGGGAGGGUCACGCGAUACUGUUCGACUCGAAGGCAGGAGAGGGAAGCAGAAUUCCCGGUGUAGUGGUGAAAUGCGUAGAUAUCGGGAGGAAUACCAGUGGCGAAGGCGGCUUCCUGGCCUGUUCUUGACGCUGAGGCGCGAAAGCUAGGGUAGCAAACGGG
rnacentral:rRNA from 1 species